rnacentral:lncRNA from 1 species
UGUGUAUUCCACAUGUCAUGUGUUCCUUUAAUUUUGCAUUUGUCGUGUCAGAAAUGCGACUAUGCUUGACAUUUGAAGAGAGCGUGUCUCCUUCCAUGCAUGUAUCAACAGCCAUGUAAAUUCACAAUCAGACAAAGUGACAUAAGUGGAGAAAGGAAACAAUUGAUGAUAUUACAAACCAGACGUCUUUAAUAACAUCUAAAGAUAUAAGACCGCGAAAACAUGUCACUAAUGAGUUGCGAAACC